UCGGGGAUUUGACAGUGGCGAUAGGGUGAGUACACGUAGGUGAUCUACCCUCAAAUCGGGGACAACCCAGUGGAAACUUGGGCUAAUACCGGAUGAGUGCAGUAUAAAGGUACUGCAUAAAAGGUGGCUUUAGGGCUGUCGUUUGGGGAUGAGCUUGCGUUCUAUUAGUUAGUUGGUGGGGUAAUGGCCUACCAAGGCGAUGAUAGAUAGGCGGCCUUAACGGGUGGUCGCCCACACUGGGAUUGAGAGACUGCCCAGACUCCUACGGGAGGCAGCAGUCGAGAAUAGUCUACAAUGGACGAAAGUCUGAUAGUGCAACGCCGCGUGGGUGAAGAAGCAUUUCGGUGUGUAAAACCCUUUUCUUUGUGAGCAGUGCCGUUAUGGUUAAUAGCUAUAGCGGAGGGAUAUUAGCAGAGGAAUAAGCCACGGCUAACUCCGUGCCAGCAGCCGCGGUAACACGGGGGUGGCAAGCGUUGUCCGGAAUCACUAGGCGUAAAGGGCAAGUAGGCGGAGUAUCAAGUCAGAUGUUAAAGGCAUUGGCUCAACCAAUGUACGGCAUUUGAUACUGGUAUUCUAGAAUUUGGUAUGGGAAGACGGAAUUCCUGGUGUAACGGUGGAAUGCGCAGAUAUCAGGAAGAACACCGGAGGCGAAAGCG
rnacentral:rRNA from 1 species